rnacentral:rRNA from 1 species
AUACGGAGGAUGCGAGCGUUAUCCGGAUUUAUUGGGUUUAAAGGGAGCGUAGGCGGGAGCUUAAGUCAGCGGUUAAAUGGUGCGGCUCAACCGUGCCCUGCCGUUGAAACUGGGUUUCUUGAGAGUGCAAGAGGCGGAUGGAAUUCAUGGUGUAGCGGUGAAAUGCUUAGAUAUCAUGAAGAACUCCGAUUGCGAAGGCAGUCCGCUGGGGCACGUCUGACGCUGAUGCUCGAAGGUGCGGGAAUCAAACAGGAUUAGAUACCCUGGUAGUCCGCACGGUAAACGAUGAUUACCCGCUGUCGGCGGCAGACAGUCGGCGGCCAAGCGAAAGCGAUAAGUAAUCCACCUGGGGAGUACGCCGGCAACGGUGAAACUUAAAGGAAUUGACGGGG